rnacentral:rRNA from 1 species
AUACGUAGGGGGCAAGCGUUAUCCGGAAUUACUGGGUGUAAAGGGAGCGCAGACGGCUAUGUAAGUAUGAAGUGAAAGCCCGCGGAUCAACCGCGGGACCGCUUUGGCAACUCUGCAGCUUGAGCGUCGGAGAGGCAAGUGGAAUUCCAAGUGUCGCGGUGAAAUGCGUAGAUAUUUGGAAGAACACCGGUGGCGAAGGCGGCUUACUAGACGAUAACUGACGUUGAGGCUCGAAGGCGUGGGGAGCAAACAGGAUUAGAUACCCUGGUAGUCCACGCGGUAAACGAUGAAUACUAGGUGUCGGUGCCCAAAGGGUAUCGGUGCCGUCGCAAACGCAGUAAGUAUUCCACCUGGGGAGUACGUUCGCAAGAAUGAAACUCAAAUGAAUGGACGGGG